GAUGAAGAACGUAGUAAAAUGCGAUAAGUAAUGUGAAUUGCAGAAUUCAGUGAAUCAUCGAAUCUUUGAACGCACAUUGCGCCCGCCAGUAUUCUGGCGGGCAUGCCUGUUCGAGCGUCAUUUCAACCCUCAAGCACAGCUUGGUGUUGGGACUCGCGUUAAUUCGCGUUCCUCAAAUUGAUUGGCGGUCACGUCGAGCUUCCAUAGCGUAGUAGUAAAACCCUCGUUACUGGUAAUCGUCGCGGCCACGCCGUUAACCCCCAACUUCUGAAUGUUGACCUCGGAUCAGGUAGGAAUACCCGCUGAACUUAAGCAUAUCAAUAACGGAGGA
rnacentral:misc_RNA from 1 species